AGAAAUUGGCAAGAUAAUGAGAUCAUGUAUCAAACCGAAGUUCCCAUGUGAAUUUCACGUAUUCGACGAUAUGCCUUCAAAUCUCGGCAAUAUGAUGAGCAUUCGGAAUCGAAUUCGUGAUAAAACAAUACAUCAACAAUUGAAAGCUGAUUUGGUUGAGCAUAUUUGGCAAAAAUUUAGAACAAAUCAAAAUUUCGACUAAUCGGCUUUUCUCGUUUAUGAUUUGUAUUUGUAUUUUCAUAUGUUUUAUGUAAUUUUUAUCAAAAAUUUUAUGUAUGCUUUUAUUUUAAAUCAUUCUAAUUAAAACAAAAAAAAAUUUUAAAAAAUUUAAGAACCCCUAUGGGGUUCUCCCAUUGGAGGAAGCAAAAAUUAAUUCCAAUAACCAAAGUUCUUAACUUAUCAAGUCACCUUAAAACCAAUUAAUUUAAUCAUUAGAACCCAUUAGGGGUUCUAAUGGAUGGAGUUGGUCUAAUACUCCUGUCUAGUUAAAUGCUAUAGCGUUUGAACUCUUUCCUCUCUCGUAUUACUGUCUGAUUAAAUGCUAGAAUUUGAACUCUCCCCUCUCUCCUCUCUAGUAUUUUCGUAUUUUGAUGAUGGAAAAAGUGUAACAAAUGAGAGAAAUAAUUUGAUUUGCAGAAGGGGGAGUAAGGAAGAAAAUGAGAUGUGCUCAUGCCAAAAUCGAGAAGGUGGAUACCGUCAUAGCUCGUAAUUCAAGCAGCCGCCGCCGUAUCUCUGUUUUCCGAUGCACGUAGUCCAAUAGGAAAAUCUCAGUGUUGUUCCAUCGAAUAAUUUUUGUUUGCGUUUCAACGAAAACUGGCCAAAGCUUUUAAUCUGAAAAUCGUUAAUUAGCUCCUCCUAGCAAGGUAUGUCAUGUUUCAAAGUGUUCCUCUUUGACUUUACCUAAACUUAUGUCUCCACAAAUUCUUGUUCUUUCAUGUUCUUCUUCUCUUUAACAGAUAUAAACUUGUCUUGUCUUGAUUUGAUGCCACUUGUUAAUUUUUGUGUUUUGCUUUUGCUUUUAUGUAUGUAAACAUGAUAACAUGCAAUUGAACGUUUCGAGGAUGAAAAUUCUCUAGCACAAGAUGGAGGCAGUGGUAAGGGUGGCUUAUUGGCCGAAUGAUAGAAAGAAUUCACUAGCUUGUUUUAGUUUCAUGUAUUUUGUAGAGUAAUCGUAGAUGACACCAAGGCAAAAUGCAAUGUUAUCUACAUGUACACAAUAAACUAAUGGGCUGUUGUCAUUUUACCACCAUAGAAAUGUAUGUACAUAAAAACUUUGAGUUGCAAGUAUCUGAAUUUUUGGUAGA